GACGAACGCUGGCGGCGUGCUUAACACAUGCAAGUCGAACGGAAAGGCCCUGCUUUUGUGGGGUGCUCGAGUGGCGAACGGGUGAGUAACACGUGUGUAACCUGCCCUUGACUUUGGGAUAACUUCAGGAAACUGGGGCUAAUACCGUAUAGGAGCUCCUGUUGCAUGGUGGGGGUUGGAAAGUCUCGGCGGUUGGGGAUGGACGCGCGGCUUACCAGCUUGUUGGUGGGGUAGUGGCUUACCAAGGCUUGGACGGGUAGCCGGCCUGAGAGGGUGACCGGCCACAUUGGGACUGAGGUACGGCCCAGACUCCUACGGGAGGCAGCAGUGGGGAAUAUUGCACAAUGGGCGGAAGCCUGAUGCAGCAACGCCGCGUGCGGGAUGACGGCCUUCGGGUUGUAAACCGCUUUCGCCUGUGACGAAGCGUGAGUGACGGUAAUGGGUAAAGAAGCACCGGCUAACUACGUG
rnacentral:rRNA from 1 species